rnacentral:rRNA from 1 species
AGACCCGAAACCCGGUGAUCUAGCCAUGGGCAGGUUGAAGGUUGGGUAACACUAACUGGAGGACCGAACCGACUAAUGUUGAAAAAUUAGCGGAUGACCUGUGGCUGGGGGUGAAAGGCCAAUCAAACCGGGAGAUAGCUGGUUCUCCCCGAAAGCUAUUUAGGUAGCGCCUCGUGAAUUCAUCUCCGGGGGUAGAGCACUGUUUCGGCUAGGGGGCCAUCCCGGCUUACCAACCCGAUGCAAACUGCGAAUACCGGAGAAUGUUAUCACGGGAGACACACGGCGGGUGCUAACGUCCGUCGUGAAGAGGGAAACAACCCAGACCGCCAGCUAAGGUCCCAAAGUCAUGGUUAAGUGGGAAACGAUGUGGGAAGGCCCAGACAGCCAGGAUGUUGGCUUAGAAGCAGCCAUCAUUUAAAGAAAGCGUAAUAGCUCACUGGUCGAGUCGGCCUGCGCGGAAGAUGUAACGGGGCUAAACCAUGCACCGAAGCUGCGGCAGCGACGCUGAUGCGUUGUUGGGUAGGGGAGCGUUCUGUAAGCCUGCGAAGGUGGCCUGUGAGGGUUGCUGGAGGUAUCAGAAGUGCGAAUGCUGACAUAAGUAACGAUAAAGCGGGUGAAAAGCCCGCUCGCCGGAAGACCAAGGGUUCCUGUCCAACGUUAAUCGGGGCAGGGUGAGUCGACCCCUAAGGCGAGGCCGAAAGGCGUAGUCGAUGGGAAACGGGUUAAUAUUCCCGUACUUGGUGUUACUGCGAAGGGGGGACGGAGAAGGCUAUGUUGGCCGGGCGACGGUUGUCCCGGUUUAAGCGUGUAGGUGUGUGUUCCAGGUAAAUCCGGUUCACUUUAACACUGAGGCGUGACGACGAGGCACUACGGUGCUGAAGCAACAAAUGCCCUGCUUCCAGGAAAAGCCUCUAAGCAUCAGGUAACAUCAAAUCGUACCCCAAACCGACACAGGUGGUCAGGUAGAGAAUACCAAGGCGCUUGAGAGAACUCGGGUGAAGGAACUAGGCAAAAUGGUGCCGUAACUUCGGGAGAAGGCACGCUGACACGUAGGUGAAGUGAUUUACUCAUGGAGCUGAAGUCAGUCGAAGAUACCAGCUGGCUGCAACUGUUUAUUAAAAACACAGCACUGUGCAAACACGAAAGUGGACGUAUACGGUGUGACGCCUGCCCGGUGCCGGAAGGUUAAUUGAUGGGGUCAGCGCAAGCGAAGCUCCUGAUCGAAGCCCCGGUAAACGGCGGCCGUAACUAUAACGGUCCUAAGGUAGCGAAAUUCCUUGUCGGGUAAGUUCCGACCUGCACGAAUGGCGUAAUGAUGGCCAGGCUGUCUCCACCCGAGACUCAGUGAAAUUGAACUCGCUGUGAAGAUGCAGUGUACCCGCGGCAAGACGGAAAGACCCCGUGAACCUUUACUAUAGCUUGACACUGAACAUUGAGCCUUGAUGUGUAGGAUAGG